GGGCGUGUGGUCUAGUGGUAUGAUUCUCGCUUUGGGUUGAGAUUUAGUUUACUGCAUCAAAAUCAAAUAUGCGAGAGGCCCUGGGUUCAAUUCCCAGCUCGCCCC
rfam:Candida tanzawaensis NRRL Y-17324 unplaced genomic scaffold CANTAscaffold_5, whole genome shotgun sequence.